UUUGCUUUAACUAACGAAACCCAAUAAUAAUUGGGUCUUGACUUGCUUCUGGCCCAUCUGGCCUCUUCCUUUCUUCGUUGACAAAGUGUGGGUUGUUCUUCUCUUCGUGUUCCUCCUCUUCGCUUCUUCUUCUUUCAAUGAUUGAUCAAAGAUUGAUUAUUCUUACUAACUCUCUUGCUUGAUUCUCUUGCACAAGAUUGAUCAAAGAUGAUAAUCCAACAGUUCCUACUCCGAGCCUUUACCGGCACCUCUUAUGCGGACUGGAUCUGGUGCUUCUCAAGAUAAGUCUCAGGCUCCCACCAUUGUCGCCACCACUCAAAGGAAGUGCAGCCAUUUCCGUUUGAAACCGUAAACAAAGUGAAGAAAGUAUGAAGGUACUAUGAUCCAGCCUUCAUGAAUAGCAUGUAUUUAUAGCAUUUAAUGAUUAAGUAGGUAAUUAAAUCUUUACCAUAUAUAUAUUUUGAUUUGAAUCAGUUAAGGAUAAAAUUUUCGUAGAAUUCCUAAUUGUUUGCAAUGAAUUGAGGAACAAUACAUUUUGUAUGAUAUUAAGAAUAUUUUCAAAUGACUGUUAUCUUUUCA